ACGGGGAUGGGGUGCAAAGGCGUGCGAGUCUUCUCACCAGGACCCCAGAGCUGCUGGCACUGCUGCUCGAGCGUGGGACACGCGCCGUCCCGGCAGUAGCCGCGGCCGCUGGCGCACGGCGAGCCAUCCAAUAGGCCAGCGCCCUCCACCCUCACCUCCGAGCCGCUCUGGCCCUCACCAGGCAGCGCGCGCAGCAGUCCCCGUGGGAACACUGGGCCCCCGCACGCAACGAGCAGUUAUGGGCGAAGCAGCAGGGGUCCAAGCACUCCUGGAGCCGGAAAGGCGAGGAGGGACCAGCCACACAACCGCGGAAUGAGCGGACACUGCCUGAGCGACGGGCGACUCGAAUCCUUUAGAGGCAGAGCCUAGAGUGGGGGGAGCUCACCGUGCUCACGCCGCCAGAGCUCUCUGCAUGGCACAUACCCUCGAUGGGCGCUAGGCCCACAGUGUUGCCCCGAAAGGUGCGGCCCCUGAGGGUGGAGCGCAGCGUGACCGGGUGG